AACGAACGCUGGCGGCAGGCUUAACACAUGCAAGUCGAGCGCCCCGCAAGGGGAGCGGCAGACGGGUGAGUAACGCGUGGGAAUCUACCCAUCCCUACGGAAUAACGCAGGGAAACGUGCGCUAAUACCGUAUACGUCCUUCGGGAGAAAGGUUUAUCGGAGAUGGAUGCGCCCGCGUUGGAUUAGCUAGUUGGUGGGGUAAAGGCCUACCAAGGCGACGAUCCAUAGCUGGGCUGAGAGGAUGAUCAGCCACACUGGGACUGAGACACGGCCCAGACUCCUACGGGAGGCAGCAGUGGGGAAUAUUGGACAAUGGGCGCAAGCCUGAUCCAGCCAUGCCGCGUGAGUGAUGAAGGCCCUAGGGUUGUAAAGCUCUUUCACCGGUGAAGAUAAUGACGGUAACCGGAGAAGAAGCCCCGGCUAACUUCGUGCCAGCAGCCGCCGUAACAC
rnacentral:rRNA from 1 species